CAGGCUGGGAUCUGCCUUCUGGCAUUCUGCAGCCACCAGCCGCCUUCUUGCCUGUAAAGGGCUUGCUGCUGGGCUCGACAGCUCCUCAGGGACAGGUAAGAGCAGGGCGGCUGGCCCCCUGCCAUUUACCAGCCAAAUGUGAAACACAACUUCGCCGGGGCGUCUGUCGGACAAGGUUCGACGACCCACCUGCCUGCUUGGACGAAGCCUCCUUGGAACCCCACAGAGAGAAACUGAGGCCCUCAGUCAACAGCCCCAUGAAGAACCGAACCCUGCCAACAAGAGCUGAUGGUGCUCCAUGGGACCUGGAGGGGACUCUGGCCCUGGCCAGCUCCACGACAUGGGACCUGGAACUGGGCUCCAUGGGACCUGGAGCCCAGCUCCAUGACAAAUCCUGAGUAGGGGACCCAGCUAAGCUGCUCCCGGGUUCCCAACUCUCAGAAACUCUAAGAUGAUAA
rnacentral:lncRNA from 1 species